CCUACGGGAGGCAGCAGUGAGGAAUAUUGGUCAAUGGGCGCGAGCCUGAACCAGCCAAGUAGCGUGAAGGAUGACUGCCCUACGGGUUGUAAACUUCUUUUAUAAAGGAAUAAAGUGAGGCACGUGUGCCUUUUUGUAUGUAUUUUAUGAAUAAGGAUCGGCUAACUCCGUGACAGCAGCCUCGGUAAUACGGAGGAUCCGAGCGUUAUCCGGCUUUAUUGGGUUUAAAGGGAGCGUAGUUGGGUUGUUACGUCAGUUGUGAAAGUUGCCGGCUCAACCGUAAAAUUGCAAUUGAUACUGGCAGCCUUGAUUACAGUUGAGGUAGGCGGAAUUCGUGGUGUAGCGGUGAAAUGCUUAGAUAUCACGAAGAACUCCGAUUGCGAAGGCAGCCUACUAAACUGCCGCUGACAUUGAUGCUCGAAAGUGUGGUAUCAAACAGGAUUAGAUACCCGAGUAGUC
rnacentral:rRNA from 1 species